UUUUUGCCUCCGAGUACAACUUGUAGACAAAACUCUGCUGCUCCAGCCCUCCAACUGAAUUUGCUGCUCUCAGGAUCCAUGGACAGUGGUGUCACUGUGGAGUCCUGGGCAGAGAACUAAGGUCCACUUGACUGGAUUUUACACAUUUCUUCACCCUCUUUUCCUUGUGUAAAUUUCUCUGAAAGUGAGUACUGAGCUCUGUGAAAGUGACCUGGGAAGGGCUCACAAGGAAACAACCUUCUUAAAAAGGAUGGGUGGAUCUUUCUCUCAAACUGCAGCUGAGGGUUCUCACCAAUAACAACUCUGAUGAAUUUUUCUGUACUGUGGAUUCAGUGACAUACUUGGCAAAGAUGCUGACAGAGAAUUCUAUCUAGAUUGAAUAGAGCAAUGAGUUAAGUAUUUAAGGUGUGUCAUGC